rnacentral:rRNA from 1 species
UACGGAGGGUGCGAGCGUUGUCCGGAAUCACUGGGCGUAAAGGGCGCGUAGGCGGCCUGAUAAGUAGGGGGUGAAAUCCUGUGGCUUAACCGCAGGGCUGCCUUCUAAACUGUCGGGCUAGAGCACAGUAGAGGCAGGUGGAAUUCCCGGUGUAGCGGUGGAAUGCGUAGAGAUCGGGAAGAACAUCGGUGGCGAAGGCGGCUAUCUGGACCGACAUUGACGCUGAGGCGCGAAAGCGUGGGGAGCAAACAGG